rnacentral:rRNA from 1 species
UACGUAGGGGGCUAGCGUUGUCCGGAAUCAUUGGGCGUAAAGAGCGUGUAGGCGGUCCGGUAAGUCCGUUGUGAAAGUCAGAGGCUCAACCCUUGAAUGCCGGCGGAUACUGUCGGGCUAGAGUCCGGAAGAGGCGAGUGGAAUUCCCGGUGUAGCGGUGAAAUGCGCAGAUAUCGGGAGGAACACCUAUGGCGAAGGCAGCUCGCUGGGACGGUACUGACGCUGAGACGCGAAAGCGUGGGGAGCAAACAGG